rfam:Myotis lucifugus cont2.51272, whole genome shotgun sequence.
GGCAGUUCUCAGGUGACACACCCCAGAGUCGGGCUCCCUCCUCUCUGGUUCCAGGUGUAUCACCCAAGAACUGCA